AACUUUCAACAACGGAUCUCUUGGUUCUGGCAUCGAUGAAGAACGCAGCGAAAUGCGAUAAGUAAUGUGAAUUGCAGAAUUCAGUGAAUCAUCGAAUCUUUGAACGCACAUUGCGCCCGCCAGUAUUCUGGCGGGCAUGCCUGUCCGAGCGCCAU
rnacentral:rRNA from 1 species